AGCAGCCGCGGUAAUUCCAGCUCCAAUAGCGUAUAUUAAAGUUGUUGCAGUUAAAAAGCUCGUAGUUGAAUUUCGGGAUCAAUAUGUUGGUCGUGCCUUGGUACGUACUGGCAUUAUCGAUUCCUACCUUCUGAAGAACCUCGAUGUCAUUAAUUUGGUGUCUUGGGGAAUCAGGACUGUUACUUUGAAAAAAUUAGAGUGUUUAAAGCAGGCUCGCGCUUGAAUACAUUAGCAUGGAAUAAUGAAAUAGGACGUUUGAUUCUAUUUUGUUGGUUUCUAGGAUCGACGUAAUGAUUAAUAGGGAUAGUUGGGGGCAUUAGUAUUCAAUUGUCAGAGGUGAAAUUCUUGGAUUUAUUGAAGACUAACUACUGCGAAAGCAUUUGCCAAGGAUGUUUUCAUUAAUCAAGAACGAAAGUUAGGGGAUCGAAGACGAUCAGAUACCGUCGUAGUCUUAACCAUAAACUAUGCCGACU
rnacentral:rRNA from 1 species